GAUGAAGAACGCAGCGAAAUGCGAUAAGUAGUGUGAAUUACAGAAUUCAGUGAAUCAUCGAAUCUUUGAACGCACAUUGCGCCCAUUGGUAUCCCGAGGGGCAUGCCUGUUCGAGCGUCAUUUCACCACUCAAGCCUGGCUUGGUGUUGGGCGACGUCCCCUUUGGGGACGCGCCUCGAAACGCUCGGCGGCGUGGCACCGGCUUUAAGCGUAGCAGAAUCUUUCGCUUUGGAAGUCGGGGCCCCGUCUGCCGGAAGACCUACUCGCAAGGUUGACCUCGGAUCAGGCAGGGAUACCCGCUGAACUUAAGCAUAUCAAUAAGCGGAGGA
rnacentral:misc_RNA from 1 species